GCCUUGUACAACUCUUGAAAGUUUGUAAUUAUGUUUAGAACAUAAUGGUUGGUUGACAAAAUUAGUCCAUCAACAUGGACUUAUGAUGAUUUUGAAUCAUUGAGUGUUGAAGUGUUAAACCACUUAACGAGACGGAAACUAGGCAAGGACUUCACCUUUAUGUCCCUAUCCUAAUGGUUCACUAAGUUUAUUGUAAACUAUGUAGUGAACAAUAACUGCACUCUCUCCAAAUUGUUUAAUGUGUAUAACACAAUUGAAAUAAGUUUCAAGAGAGAUAGUGGGAGUUUAGGGACCAUGACUAUUGUUGUCAAAUGAACAUGUUUUCACAUAAUCAUCCUUCAGAAUAUUGGUUGACUAUUCCUAGAUAUCGAACAAUAUCGUCAAUUAGUAGCGCCACUGUAGGCUGAUUACAGUUUAGAACCUUCUCUGGUAGCUAGCCUCGAAUAAUUGGUAAGGAAUUGGUCCUGCAAGGUGGUUUCAGUAAUUCUAUGAAAAAUGCAUACUACUUCAGGGAUUUCUACUGACUGUAGGUAUACAGCUCAUACUCCUAUGCCUAUACUUAUCAAAAUGACGAGUAUAGCACCAAAAGAAUCUUUGGAAACUAGUAUUGGUUGGAACGUCCUAAGGCUAAAAAAGGAAUUUCCUAUUAAUCUACUUUAGGACGGG
rnacentral:lncRNA from 1 species